UCAACUGCCCCUUAGAACCAACUUCUCUGGUUUGAAACGGCCUAUGUGGCAUCGAUAUGAGUCAGACACAUUCAUUUCAGUGUCAAAAUUGACGACAAAACUGUGUUUUGUAAGUGAGUUCAUCACAACUACUGGAGGGUUGGGUAUGGAUUACUUAACGCCGAUUUAUGGACAUUCUGGUGUCUGCAUUGAACGUACAGCAUUUACUGCGAUGCGGCCUCUGCAGAAGUCAGGGCAUUCAUACUUGUGCUUCUCAGAGCAGAGCUGUUGUGAAUGAAGUUGUCAAGGAAGUGAGUUUGUGUUUAUACAGGACGUAUCGCCCCCACCUGCAGUCAGACAAUGUUAAAUCGGAGCUAUACGGAGCCCUCACAUUGUUACAAAAUUUGGGAGGCCAUGGCGAGAUGGUACGGAGCUCCGCAAUUGCGGCACACCCUUGAGUUACAUUCAACAUGGUUACUUCUGCUGCCUGUCAACCGUCAAACUACUGGUGAUGACUAAUCCAGCUGCUGCUGCUGAUGUUGACACCAGCUUUAGUAGUACAGAGCCUGUAGACCCAUUGGAUGAAAGUAUUCAGCCUGGAAUAAACUCAAGCUCAAAAUGAUCUGACUUUGAAACAAGCCGACAGCCAAAGGAGAAUUAUAGAACAAACAAAUCUUCUGCAUGAGGUUGAAGCAGCGGGUGGUGAAGAAAGAGAGGCUUUUCUACUUGGCUGUGGAGUGCAGAAAGGACCAGACUGUUGUCUACAAGGAGCCAGAGUCACAUCCCCCCCAAACCUAACAUCACUGCCAACAUCGCCACAGCACCAAAGCUUGCUAAACCAGCUGCCAUUACCCAAAACAAGGAGAGGUUCACCAGCUGAAGAACAUUCUGGAACUUGCCUGGAACAUUCAACCAACACAACAUCCAUAUUCUGUUAGACUGAUGUUGUAGUAUAAUAUAGAAUUGUAACGGAGACGCAGGGAGCUCCUCCUCGGAGUGCUAGAUGAACGGGGAGUAAUCAGGGAAGUGAUGACCUCCCCCCUCCGACGUGCGGCCCCAGCCGCAGGACGACACCGGCCCCGAGGGCGAAGAGCGGGCCGGUCUGGACGGCGAAGGUGGAAAUCUCAGAUGAGAUUAGUCUGUUAAUGUAGCAAAUAAGUAGACAUGUCUUGUAUUCAGGACAAAGUUUAUUUGUUCUGGGGACCGUGGUAAUUUUACACAGCAGUAUGCAGGAAUACAGUAUAUACAGUAGAAGAAAUACUAAUACUAACGCUUUUAAUAAAUACUACAGUUCUACAAAGGGAAUACUUGCA